rnacentral:tRNA from 1 species
GCCCCUGUAGCUUAGGUGGAUAGAGCACCAGCCUCCGAAGCUGGUUGCCCGGGUUCGAGUCCCGGCAGGGGCA